rnacentral:tRNA from 1 species
GUGCCCUUAGCUCAAUUUGGUAGAGCGCUGGUCUCCAAAACCAGUGGUUGCAGGUUCAAGUCCUGCAGGGUGUG